rnacentral:rRNA from 1 species
GACGGACGCUGGCGGCGUGCCUAAUACAUGCAAGUAGAACGCACAGUUUAUACCGUAGCUUGCUACACCAUAGACUGUGAGUUGCGAACGGGUGAGUAACGCGUAGGUAACCUGCCUGGUAGCGGGGGAUAACUAUUGGAAACGAUAGCUAAUACCGCAUAAUAUUAAUUAUUGCAUGAUAAUUAAUUGAAAGGUGCAAUUGCACCACUACCAGAUGGACCUGCGUUGUAUUAGCUAGUAGGUGAGGUAACGGCUCACCUAGGCGACGAUACAUAGCCGACCUGAGAGGGUGAGCGGCCACACUGGGACUGAGACACGGCCCAGACGCCUACGGGAGGCAGCAGGAGGGAAUCUUCGGCAAGGGACGAAAGUCUGACCGAGCAACGCCGCGUGAGUGAAGAAGGGUGUCGGAUCGGAAAGCUCGGUUGUAAGAGAAGAACGGGUGUGAGAGUGGAAAGUUCACACUGUGACGGUAUCUGACCAGAAAGGGACGGCUAACUACGUG